CUUCAGGGAUCCGAGCCACAGCGGGCUGUCCUCGGGCCGGUCCUUGCCGUACGUGGCCAGCAGUGCCUGGGCCUC
rnacentral:antisense_RNA from 1 species